rnacentral:rRNA from 1 species
UCGGGAAUUUUGGGCAAUGGGCGAAAGCCUGACCCAGCAACGCCGCGUGAAGGAUGAAGUAUUUCGGUAUGUAAACUUCGAAAGAAUGGGAAGAAUAAAUGACGGUACCAUUUAUAAGCUCCGGCUAACUACGUGCCAGCAGCCGCGGUAAUACGUAGGGAGCAAGCGUUGUUCGGAUUUACUGGGCGUAAAGGGCGCGUAGGCGGCGCGGUAAGUCACUUGUGAAAUCUCUGAGCUUAACUCAGAACGGCCAAGUGAUACUGCAGUGCUAGAGUGCAGAAGGGGCAAUCGGAAUUCUUGGUGUAGCGGUGAAAUGCGUAGAUAUCAAGAGGAACACCUGAGGUGAAGACGGGUUGCUGGGCUGACACUGACGCUGAGGCGCGAAAGCCAGGGGAGCAAACGGGAUUAGAUACCCGAGUAGUCCCUGAGCGGGCUGGCAAGGCGCAU